rnacentral:rRNA from 1 species
GACGUAGGGCGCGAGCGUUGUCCGGAUUUAUUGGGCGUAAAGAGCUCGUAGGCGGCUUGUCGCGUCGAAUGUGAAAACUCGGGGCUCAACCCCGCGCUUGCAUUCGAUACGGGCAGGCUCGAGUUCGGUAGGGGAGACUGGAAUUCCUGGUGUAGCGGUGAAAUGCGCAGAUAUCAGGAGGAACACCGAUGCGAAGGCAGGUCUCUGGGCUGUAACUGACGCUGAGGAGCGAAAGCAUGGGGAGCGAACAGG